UUGCUGAUUUGUCUCACACGCACACACACACGAAAGCCUCCUGGCUCGAGUGCGAGGCCGCUAACCUCUCAUGACAAACACGUGUGCGAGUGUACUUCUGUGUGUGUGUGUGAUUGCUGCCAACGUCGUGCAUGACUGCUCUUGUUUGCUGGAGGACAACCGACUUGUUUACGUGCACACACACACACACACACACACUCACUCGCACACAAGGCCUUGUUUGUGCGAGUGUGUAUAGCAGAGAAAGAGAGAUUACAGAGCUAUUCAGUUUGCUAUGCUGGUAGCUAUUCAGUGGUUGUGUAUGUAUGUGCGUGCGCGUGUGUGUGUGUGUGUGUGUGUGUCUGUGUGCGCAUGUGGGGGUGUGUUAUUGGCUGAAGUGGAAAAAGGUGGCAGAGGGAGGUGCGGUGGGAACGGAGGAGUCUUUUUGGGCAACUCCCGCGGUUGCUACGGCGACAACGAGCGGAAGCGCAGUCCGGCCGCUCCCCUCAACACAUCCUAUUUGGGGCGAGGUGAUGUUAGAAGAAGAAUGAAGGUAGAGCAGGAAGUAAGAGCUUCGACCCAUUGAAGGUCCAGGUGGUGAACUUUGCACCCGACGUUUCAUUUAAUGAGGCUGACCCAGAUGCUCGGUGACCAAUUUUAUCCAAGGGGAGACGAAGGGCAGUGAGAAAACGGGGCCCGAAAACAAAGACGAGACUGGGGAUGGUGACUGUGUACGGAUCAGACCUCUGCCAAGGUUCAAAUCUUCUUGGCUAGGAUUUUUUUUACAAAAAUGGUAUCAUACCUAGUAAUUGUAUAGCAUGUAACCUCCAAACUUGCGAUUAAUCAUGUAUCCAAGAGGAGACUUAGGGCAGCAGCAGCUAGUAGCAGCAGCUAGAAGCAUCUAGUAGCAGCAGCUAGCAGCAGCUAGCAGCAGCAGCUAGUAGCAGCAGCUAGCAGCAGCGGACUGAAAACUAUGUUCAUGGACACAUUAUGACCAAGAAGAGACCAAGACUACAAAGUAUAAAAGUGCAGCAGCGACAGGAUGAGUCUGGGCCUCCGCGGACUCGAUCGUCAAAGAGUGUUUGUCAUGUGACUCGGCCGUAGCGGAUUCCACACUGAGGUGUGGCCUGGACCAAUCGGCUACGGGGUGUGACUGUCUGCGUCACCCCUCCCAAACACGCAUGAACUCCAUUGUGAGAGGGACAGAGCCCCCUCUGUGCUUUGAAACAAAGUUAUUGCCAUGAAGCUGAUUUGAUCCAAGAGGAGACUGAGGGCAAACUCUCAGACCUCCAGAGUGAACACCGCCACAAGAAAGAAGAAGCAGCCAGCUGGCCGACUGACUGACUAACUGGUCAUCCGCUCAAGCCACCUGAUACCAAAAUACUGAGCCAGCGCAUCAAAUGAGCUUCUCCCAUGUCAGGCUCUCUCCGCGGGAAGCUUCCACGACCUUCUGCAAAGAACACCCUAUCGAGAAAGUCCGAUUCAAGUAGAAGAUCUCAAUUUUGGCCUGAUGUACUGCCACUUGUCUUCUCUCUUACGGACUGACUGUCUGCAUAUCUGCUGCGACGACCUGCUGAUGAUAAUGCAGCGGACUCCGGCGAUGUUCCAAUGUCGCCAUGACCAACGUGUUCUUGCGAUAAAUGGCCGUACGAUGGACAAACACACACACACACACACACACACAAUCUCAGUAGUGCUAUCAAACUUUGUUCGGCUCUGUUAACGAUUGACAGAGGUGGGCAUCAUCCCACAUCCCAUUGUUGUUUUCAAUCUUGUACUUAACACACACACACGUUGUGCAAGACAUUGCUGGAAAGCACUGGCGAAAACGGUGUGCUUUCCAAUAUUCCCACCGCUGCAUUUGAGAAAGCUGGGAAAUUCCGCAUGUCUGCAUUUUCCCCAUUUGCCAGCGGUCUUGAACGCAGCAUUAGCCUGCAGCCAGACAGGAAACUAGCUUUGCAGCCUAAGUAAGCAAGCACAUUUGGCAAGUGUCACUCACAUAAGUCAAUCACGGGGCCAAUACAGAAAAGUGAUUCCAGUCAAUCACAAGACACAUAACCAAGAAAACUGUCCGCCGGUCAAUCCCAGUGCAGCAAUUUGUUUACUGUGAAAUAAACAACCCAUAUUCAA